AGGAUCAUCAUCGAAUAAACUUGAGCAGGCUGUUGCUGGCCCCCUGGGGUAUCUGUGCACGCUUGUCAUAUUUAUUUCUCCAACUGUGCACACACUGUAGACCUGGAGUUUUUUUCUUGAAUUUAUUCAGAGAUUGAGGACUGCCGUGCUUUUUUAGUUCAGCUUUGCCUUGCAGGUCUAUGUUUUUUAUACAAACCCAAAACCAUGUUUAGAAUGUUGAAUCGGGUCAUCUGUACCUAUAAAGUUAAAUAUACAACUUUCAGCAACGGAUCUCUUGGCUCUCGCAUCGAUGAAGAACGCAGCGAAAUGCGAUAAGUAAUGUGAAUUGCAGAAUUCAGUGGAUCAUCGAAUCUUUGAACGCAUCUUGCGCUCCUUGGUAUUCCGAGGAGCAUGCCUGUUUGAGUGUCAUUAAGUUCUCAACCACACUGAUUCUUAUAUCGGGUGUGGCUUGGAUGUGGGGGUCGUUUGUUUUUGCAGGCUUUAGAAAUGAAGUCAGCUCCCCUGAAAUGCAUUAGUGGUAUCUGAGUGGUGACUGCUACAGGUGUGAUAAUUAUCUAUGCCUUGGGUGGACCACAAGAAACAGAUUGCACCGCUUCUAACACUUGAUAAUUCUGAAACAUUUGACCUCAAAUCAGGUAGGACUACCCGCUGAACUUAA
rnacentral:rRNA from 1 species